UUGACUCUCAAAUGAAAACACUUAUCAUCAACUCAACUGAUCGCGAGAUCGGUCGAUAGACGAAAGGCCCUGGCAGACUGGCUUUUCGGUUAUCUCCUCAUCAGGCUAAUCACGGUUUCGACCCGGCUCCCCCGCCGGGUCUUUUUUUG
rnacentral:sRNA from 1 species